ACACACAAACAACUCUCAUGAGUUUCUCUGUCAUUUGACGCUGUUUGCUGCUUCUGCCACAUGUCUUAGAGCUUUGAAUUACAGAUAUACUUAACUACUUGAACUUCUGCCUGUGUCCCGGGUUCCUCCUUUCUAGAAUGUUCUCUGUCCUACUCUCUUCCCCAGAUUCACUUCCUUUUGGAAGCUUUCUACCACAUAAAAUGACUGGAUAAAUUCCUCUAAUACCUGCUUCCAUUAUACCUUGAGUAUUUUCUGGUAUAUAAUAUUCAGUUAUUAUUAACCAUUUAUUUCUCUCUCUUCUUACUAGCACUAUGUGUUCCUAGUGACCAGGGAUGAUAUUUUACUCUCUUAGCUUCAAAGUCUAGUGCUUGACUGAGAUACAUGAUGAGUUUCUAGUGAAAUGAAUGACUGGAUAAAUGAAUGAAUACAUUUGCAAUAACAAAAUUUUAACCUCCUUGUCUUUUCCUUCAUUCACAUGGAGCUCUGCGUCACAUUGCAAAAGCCCUUCCAGUGUCUUGUCCAAGCCCAUGCAUCAACUCGACUUGUAUUCCUUCAUUAUCAUGGCAAUAAAAAGUAGGGAGUUUAGAAGGAAGAGAAAUGGGAUGAGGGAGGGAGGAACAGAGAGGAAGCAGCCAGGAAGAGAUAGUCACAUCAGAAUAAAAAGGUUUAUUUCAUUGAUGAGGAAACUGAGACUGAGAAAGGAAUGUGACUUGUGUAAGUCACACAGGAGAGACCAGAACCUGGUUUUAUGGCUGCCAACCCUGCGCCUUUCCACUGUGUCAUGAAUAUUUCAGCAAAAGCAUCUGCCACACGCAGAUGAAAACAUACUGGUUCAUUUCCAAAGACAACAACCUCAUUGUCAGGGUCAUGGGUUGAAAUAUAAAGAAUUAUUCCUGAUUUAAACACAGCCUCUCACUUGGAGCAAUGACUUAGGCUAAUUUUGCAGGCGGCAUGUUUUCCUUUGAGAUUUCUCACCGGAUCUGUUCCCCAUCUCCUAGAUUGCAUAAGGGUAAUGAUGAAUUCCGUGACUAGAUCCCAACUUCCUGAGACUCAAAAUAAUCACUGUUCUGUUUUCCACGGGAGAUGAAGAUAUAUAUUAGGAUUUUAACAUGCUUUGAAUAUCCACUUUCAGAACAGGAGACAUCCGCAGCAGGUGGGGCUUGCAAAUGAUAUUUCUAAUCAGAUGUUCAUCCAGAAAGUAAUUAACUUUAGGAAAGUAAAGGCCCUAGAGGCUUCUGAAAAGAUUUCCUUACUCUCAACUCUCCCUGAGCAUUUCUUGAUCUUUGCCUCCCCCCCCUGAGCUGCAGAGCCCAGAGGGAAGAUGAGAAGCAAGUCCUGCUGAUAAGGAUGCAGAUCACAUUUGGGUGACUCAGAGCUGUGCGGGUUGCAGAAAGAGUAGCUACCCAAAGCACAUGGGUGAAGGGACAGUGAAUCCCCUGAAGACCACUAAAGCCUAAAAUACAAGAUGAGGAUCACAGUCAGGAUACUAGAGAUCCAUGGUUUCACGUAAAUAUGAAGCAUUGAAAUGUUUUUAUGCUCUCUGGUUUCAAAAAUGUGAAUUUUAGAAAAAAAUUACUAACAGUAUUUUUGUGAAGCCAAUAAUAAAUAUACGACAGUCAUGAAAACACAGUUGAAAAAAAUUUUAUUUUCUAGGUUUCAAGGUGGUAGAAGGGAACAAAAGAAGGUCUGUAAGAUACCUUGAAAAUUUAUUUUUUUAAAAAUUUUUAUGGGAAUGUUCUUUCUUGAUGUCCACAUUUGUUGACAGUCUUUCAGUCAGUCACCGAAUAAGCCCCAAGGAUCCAGAAAUAAAAGACACAAUCUUUACCCUGUGUGAUAGUCUGCGAUAAUUGUCGUCAAAUAUUUCCAGUUAUCCACCUACAAGGCUCUUCCUGGCUGCUUGUGGUUGGAUAUAUUUAGCUUUGGUCAAUGAGUUUUGAGCUAAAGUAUCUGGUGUCACUUCUAGGCCAGAGAAUUUAAUUGUCAGUAUGAAACUCUUCUUCCUCUGCCAGCAUGCCUGAUUGUGCUGUGGAUAGAGCCUAUUCUUUUUGUAUGUGAUUAGAAACUGUGCAUAUGAUUGGAUAUUACUCCUGUGGUUGGGUUAUUAAUCAGUCAGCUUUGAGUCAAUCAAAUGGGAAUUAGCUUGGGUGGGCCUGACCCAAUCAGGUGAGCCCUUUAAAAGAAGAUGAGGUGUCAAAGAGAUAUGCUCCUGCUUUCCUAGAAGAAAGCAAACAGACAGCAACAUAAUGGGACGUCAAUUACAUCAUUACAAGAAAUUGAUUUCAGUCCAAAAACACAAAUGGGCUUGGAAGAGAACCAUAAGUCUUAGAUGAGGUUGCAGCCCUGGCUAGCACCUUGAUUUCAGCCUGGUGAAUCCCUGAGCAGAGGACACAGCUAGCCCAUACCCAUAUGAAACUCUGAGAUAGUUCAUCUGUCUUGUUUUAAAUUUGCGGUAGUUUGUUGCAUGGCUAUAGAACUUUAAUACUAUCAUGAGGGGCUUCUCAGGACUCAAAGAUUUUUACUAUUAGGAUGAGUUUUAAAAGAAUGAGAAUAAUCCAGAUAAAGAGCGAUGGCACAGAGGAAAUAUCAAGAUGAAAGAAGAGCAGAUGCUAAAAUUUGAAAACCUGAGUGAAUAGGGUGUGUCUUAAUUAAAAGCAAUUCAGUUUAUAUAAGGAGGACUGAUAGUAAAAACAUUUAGCAACUCAUAAAAUCUGCACUGUUGCAGGCCAGGCCCUCUGAAAGCAGAUGCUGGGGCAGAAUUAGCUCUCCCAAAGGUUUAUUAGGUGUUGACUUGUGGCAGGAAGAGGGAGGAAGAUUGGGCAGGGGCUUAUGUUUCACUAAGAUCCAGUCGCAACAAAGCUUUGGCCAAUCAAAGGCAGUUCUGAGAAAUUCCUGCUUAUUGGGGGAUUCCCCACUGAGAUGAAAAUGGCCAGGCACUUAGCUCUCAUCCUGCUCCUUUAUUUGAUAUGAUUGUUCCAAGAAGAGCAUGGCCCCAGGUCUCUACAACCAAACUCAAUAUUGGAUAGUGUCUGAUGACUGGAUUCCUGGCAAUGAAAUGAUAAGUGCUUCCUUGAAGGAGGAUCUGGGCUGACUAUCUCUGUCUGCCGCAAACUCUAACCGACAAGAACAGGACAUGCCUGGUAGGGCCAGGCAUCACUAGUUAAUGAGUCUUGGGAAAUGCUCAGGAGUUUUAAGGAAAGUACCAGUUAAGUGAACCCUAAGCCUUAGAUGAGGUUGAGUGGUGGGGGAGUACUCUAGGAACACAGGCUGUGACUAGCAACCAGUGAAAAGCAUUUCAGCUGGAAUGGCUGAGUCAGUAGACAAGGUCUGAGGAGCAAACAAGGACCAGAUAAAGAAGGGUUCAUUUUGUGACCUGAAGCAUCACAUUUCACAUCCUAUCAACAAGGAUUUAGAACCACCAUUGAAUCCACUUUUCCACCAUAAUUAAAAUUGUUGCUGAGCAAAGAUUGUACCCUGACCCCAGCAUGGUCACAUCCUUCGAAUGAACAAACUCAAACCCAAGACACUGAGGACAGGUAACAUGGCUGCCAAGAACUAUUCAAUAUGAAAGCAGUAAAAAAGACUUACAUAUGCCAUGCUUCUGAGCUUCUGGAUAAUUUAUUUACACAACUGCAUUUCCAUCUGUCACUGCAUUGUCCUUUAAACUGCCUGCCAAUCCCAUGAUUUCACCAGGCUGUGGCUGGAAGCAUCCCUCAGGUCCACAACAUCAAAGCCCCUCUGUUCCUCUCAUGCUGUCAUUUACAAAGCUCAUGCCAAGGUGGAUCCAUUUUUUGUGAUGCGAUUUGCCAUUAAUAGAUUCAUAUUGCUCAUUGCUCUAGGGUCCAGUGUCUAAGAGCUAUUGAAGUGCCCUUAAGCUCCCCAGGUUGCUGAAUCAGAACUUGCUCAUCAGUCACUGUUGGCACCAUUUAGCAGGCUGCUUGCUUGCCAGGAAGAGUCUGAUGCCUUCAUCUCCUCUCCUCCCAGAUGGAAUGUGGACCCUCCGCAGUUCUGGGAAACCUCACAUCUUUUAUGGAGUCAUAUGAAAGGCAAAAGAGAAGGUGACAUUGAGGAAGGUGGGCAGGAGCACAGAGGUGCCAUCGAUGGUUCUUCUGGUUCCUAGUGAGAGAAGAAUAUGCCAAUGUGUUAUAUAGGAUCUAAGAGAUCACUUGGCCCCAAAUUCCCAUUUUAUAGAUGAGGAUGAGAGAUGCAAAAAGGUUCAUGCUUAUUCUAGAUCAUCAUUAUGGGCAAAUUGUGACCUCCCCCAAAUUCAUAUGUGGAAUCCUUAAUCCCCAGAGUGACUGACUGUAUUUUGACAGAGCGUCUAUAAAGAGAUAAUAAAGGUUAAGUGAGAUAAUAAUAAGAAUGAGAUCCUAUUUGAUCAGAGUGGUGUCUUUAUAAAAGCGGAAGAGACAUCAGAGCCUCCUCUCUCUCUCUCUCUCUCUUUCUCUUUGUAUCUCUCAGCACACAAAGAAAAGGCCAUGUGAAGACACAGAGAGAAGGGAGAAGGAGGCUGUUUGCAAGUCAGCAAGAGAGGCCUCACCAGAAACCAAACCUGCUGGCACCUUGAUCUUGAACUUUCAGCCUGGAGAAUUGUGAGAAAAUAAAUUUCUGCUGUUUAAGCCACUCGACCUGUGGUAUUUUGCUAUGGCAGGCCAAGCUGAUUAAUAUAAUCACCCAGCACACUUGUGACCUAAGUAGUUCUACUCACUUAGCAAUCUGGGGGGUUGUGAGCCGUGGAAGAUGACUGGCUGUUUACAGAAUGCAAAAGGGAAGGAAUGAAAAACCAAGGAGCAAGCAUAGAGAGAAAAAAAUAAGAAAAGGUAGAGAAAGAGGAGGAUGGAGAACAAGAGAGGGACAGAAAAGCAGAAAGUAGGAGGAGUUAACUUCUAAUUUAGAUCUGCAAGAAGUUUUUAAACAAUCAAUACAUUUUAUUUAUCCUUCGACUAUGAAGUCUGUAAAGAUGAAUAGAGAUAAAUGUUUUUAUUGAAUCAGGAUUUCAGAGUGGUAAGGACACUAAAGGAAAAGAAACAAACCUCAAAUUGGAUAAAGAAAUUGGCGAGGUUCAUACGGUAAGUUCAGCAUGGCAGCCUUAUUGUGCAUGGUGGUGGGCUUGUCACAGAUCUGGCUCGCAGGAGAUAGCCCACCCUACCUGUCCUCUGCCCCACUUCAUGCACAUAUGUGGCCAGGCAGUUGAGAGCACAGACUUGGAAACAAAAGGAGCCUGGGGCAGAUCCCAGUCUUGUGUUUUUCCACCUUCGUGUUUUCUGAUAAAAUGCCUCUGCUCCUCCGAUUUCAGAUUGCUUUUGUCUCUAGAUUCAGGACUCUCGGUUCUAGAGAUGUGCUGAUAUUUAAAUGUACGAGUUCAAAUUUAAUGAAAAUGUAGGGAGAAGUACUGAGACUUUAUUAAAAAAUAAGAUGAAAAGUACUUAUGUUUCCAUAGCAAUUAGAUUGGAACUUCCCCCAUCUUCCUUGCAAUCAUAUCCAAACAAUGGAUGUAAACUCCUA